UACAGAGGUCCCAAGCGUUGUUCGGAUUCAUUGGGCGUAAAGGGUGCGUAGGCGGCGCGGUAAGUCGGGUGUGAAAUCUCGGGGCUUAACUCCGAAACUGCAUUCGAUACUGCCGUGCUUGAGGACUGGAGAGGAGACUGGAAUUUACGGUGUAGCGGUGAAAUGCGUAGAUAUCUGCAGGAACACCCGUGGCGAAAGCGGCGAGCUGGACCACUACUGACGCUGAAGAACGAAAGCUAGGGGAGCAAACAGG
rnacentral:rRNA from 1 species